rnacentral:rRNA from 1 species
CACGUAGGGGGCGAGCGUUGUCCGGAUUUAUUGGGCGUAAAGAGCUCGUAGGCGGCUCAGUAAGUCGGGUGUGAAAACUCCAGGCUCAACCUGGAGACGCCACCUGAUACUGCUGUGGCUAGAGUCCGGUAGGGGAGCAUGGAAUUCCUGGUGUAGCGGUGAAAUGCGCAGAUAUCAGGAGGAACACCAGUGGCGAAGGCGGUGCUCUGGGCCGGAACUGACGCUGAGGAGCGAGAGCGUGGGGAGCAAACAGG